ACCGCGUGGGACUUUCCUCUCUGGCUUAGACUGGGAGACUAGUCUAGUUCCUUUUUGGAGCUUGAGAACCGGGGCGGGAGAAUGGCGUCCCUCAAGACCCUCGUGGAUGUGGUUCUCUCAGGCCAACGUUCCUUCCUCGGGGACUGUCCUGGAGAAGCUUUGGCCCUUACCUCUCCCCAGCUCAGCCCCUGGGCCACAGCUCUGGGUCAUACAGCCUCCUAAAAUCCUGAGCUGUUCUUUACUGUGCCACAUUUUUAUCACAUUUGAGUGCCUGCUGUGUGCCAUGCACGUUUCUAAUCCUUAAAUGGAUGAAACAAAAGCCUUAGAUGUUACAGUGGAGGAGAAAAAUCAAGACAAAAAUACCCAAUAUAUCUUAGGGUGACAAAUGCUAAGGAGAAAAACGGAGGAAGGAGUCCCUUCUCUCACUGAUGAGUCUGAAGAAGGAACUGGGCUAUGAUGGGCAGCCUCCCCCCACGACUCUGAGACCGGCCGACCUAUACAACCUCGUGGACGCACCCAGAAGUGAUGGUUUACCAGCUCCCCGAGCCUCCCUGAGCCCAGUCAAGUUGAUGCAGAAAGUUAACCAUCACAAGUCUUGGGAUAAGAUCGUCCUGGAUUCUCCAGUGGCAUAAAUCCAAUGACAGAUGUCCUUAGGAGGACAGGAAAAUGCAGAGAGAAGAAGGAGACACGUAGACAGGUAAAGAGUCCACAAGCAGAAGUUGGCAACCCCGAGCCAAGGAAUGCUUGCAGCCACCAGAGGCUGGAAGAGACAAAGAAGGAUCCUUCCCUAGGGCCUGUGGAGGAAGUGUGGGCCUGUCAGCAUCUUGACAUGGGGCUUCUGGCCCCAUAAACUGUUCGAAAAUAGAUGUCUGCUGUCUUUAAGCCACCCAGGUUGUGGUAAUUGGUAGUCCUAGGGCAUGAAUACAGACGGUAAGAGUAGAUUCCAUGGAAAAGUAGUGUCUGAGGAAGUCUUAAAGGAUAUGGGAAGUCUGCUGUGUGAAUAUCCGGGGGCAGGACUGUGGGCCUAGGGAAUGACCCGCUAUCAGGGAAGGGGUGCAGGAGGGGUCAGAGGAAGGGGCAUAGGGAGCAACAAGGACAAGGAAGUAACAGAGAAACCAAAGCGGGCUGACAGAGCAUGUGGGGCCUCCUAGGGCGUUGCAAAACCUUUGGAAUAGUGGUGCAUGUGGAAUGAACCAUAAAAACACCACUAUUGAGCCUCUGUGACAUGACGAGUACUGUGACAGGUUCUUCGAGUACUCGCGCUGAGCCCUGCCCAGAUUCCUGACCCACAGCAUCAUAGCAAUAAUGAAGAGUCGUUAAAGUGACCAAGUUUUGGGUGGCUCAUUGUGCAGCAAUACGUAACUGAUACACUAGCCGCGUCCCCUCUCUCCGUUCCUGAGGAGUGUAAGGAGUCAAGACGGAACCUUGUACUUCGACUCACAGAUCUAGGACAGACCCGGAAGGCCUCGGUUGAAGACCCUCUGUCUGUCUCUACUUGGCUUAGGAGAUCCAGCUCCAUUAGAAGCUAUUCCUGACACUAAAAUGUUAUCAGUGCAUUUCUUCGGGUGAUGUAGUUAUAGGCAGUUUCCUGCAUUUGUUCAGUUUUCCCAGAAUGAGUAAAAACUGCUUCAGUAAUGAGGAAAGAUACUCUAUGUAGCUCUCUUCCGUAACUAUGGGAGCCACUGUUCCUCCUUUGGUGUCCUCUCCCUCCAGGGGAUAGCCUUGAGGUCUCCACACCUUCUUUCUCCAAGUGACAGGAGCCACUGUUGGUGGGCUGCACCCAGCCACUCUCAGUCCUUUGCAUCUUUCCUGUUGGGCCUUAAAGAGCCAGAUACUCAUUUUCCUAGUCCCCUUGCAGCUGGAGGUGACCAGGCAACAAAGUACCAUCCAGUAAGAUACAAAGGCAAGAGUUUUCCUUUCUGGGAAAGGAAGAAAGCGAGAAAGGGAG